GCAUGCCUGUCUGAGCGUCAUUUAAUACCAUGACCCCCCCUCUCUUGGGAGUCGUAUUGGGACUCGCCGUCUUUUCCGGCGUCUCCUCAAAGUCAUCGUGUCUAAAAGCGGACGAGAUCCUUUAGGACAGAACGUUUGAGGACCUUAAACCCCCCCUCUGACUUGACCUCAGAUCAGGUAGGACUACCGCCUGAACUUAA
rnacentral:misc_RNA from 1 species